CAGUCGCCACGGUAAUACGUAGGUCCCGAGCGUUGUCCGGAUUUAUUGGGCGUAAAGCGAGCGCAGGCGGUUAGAUAAGUCUGAAGUUAAAGGCUGUGGCUUAACCAUAGUACGCUUUGGAAACUGUUUAACUUGAGUGCAAGAGGGGAGAGUGGAAUUCCAUGUGUAGCGGUGAAAUGCGUAGAUAUAUGGAGGAACACCGGUGGCGAAAGCGGCUCUCUGGCUUGUAACUGACGCUGAGGCUCGAAAGCGUGGGGAGCAAACAGGAUUAGAUACCCGCGUAGUCCCUGUCUCUUAUACC
rnacentral:rRNA from 1 species